rnacentral:lncRNA from 1 species
GUAAGUAUCAGUGCAUCUCAGGUUGCCUGACUCGUCCGUGGAGUCUGUUACCACCUAGGCAAUCCAAGUUGCUCUGAGCAUUUAUAGUCAGAUUAUCCCAACUCCCUGGCAAGGCACAGACCUGGGAUCUCACCAGCCCAAACUGCAGUCUUUUUCCAGAAGUUUUGAGGGAUCGAACUUGGGACCUUGCCUUUGUGAGACAGGUGGUAGAACCACUGAGCUAAAUGCCUGGCCCAAGAAAGCAUUGACUUAUAAAGAGAAGAGCUUACUCCCUUCUGAUGCUCUGGUCCCAUAUCGGGAGGCCCAGCUGGAUGGCAGUGGAGCAGACUGCUCCCCACAUGAGCCAGGAAGUCAGAGCCAGCAAGAG